AGACGUCUACAUUAGAUACCCGCGUAGUCCCAGCCGUAAACUAUGCGCGUUAGGUGUAUCGGUGACCACGAGUCACCGAGGUGCCGAAGGGAAACCGUGAAACGUGCCGCCUGGGAAGUACGGUCGCAAGGCUGAAACUUAAAGGAAUUGGCGGGGGAGCACCACAACGGGUGGAGCCCGCGGUUUAAUUGGACUCAACGCCGGGAAGCUCACCGGAUAAGACAGCGGAAUGAUUGCCGGGCUGAAGACUCUGCAUGACUAGCUG
rnacentral:rRNA from 1 species